rnacentral:tmRNA from 1 species
CCCCUUUUCAUUCGCGUGCGAAAUGCCUAUAUCAGCCGUGCCGGGGCUUGCUCCGGCUAUGGCAAUAAACGGCCGAUGUAAUAAACCUAUUGGACCCGGGGGCGGUACCCGGCGCCUCCACCAAAAACCGGUCUUCGACGACCGGCUCGGCCUGACCGGCUUUUGAUGGGGGCGAAAUAGGAUCGACAAGGGCGUAAAGAUCGAACUUUUGCUCGGCAUGAUACCACCGUUAUCGGGUCAAACAGAGUAGUUGCAAACGACAACAACGCUCAGGGUUACGCUGUAGCUGCCUAAUGGCGGUUCCAGAAACCCGACUUAAGUCCUUGCGGGUAGCACCGUAAGGCGGGGUCCGGAGGCACCUGGCAACAGAAGCCUCCACC